UGGGGAAUAUUGCACAAUGGGCGCAAGCCUGAUGCAGCCAUGCCGCGUGUAUGAAGAAGGCCUUCGGGUUGUAAAGUACUUUCAGUCGGGAGGAAGGUGGUAAGGUUAAUAACCUUGGCAAUUGACGUUACCGACAGAAGAAGCACCGGCUAACUCCGUGCCAGCAGCCGCGGUAAUACGGAGGGUGCAAGCGUUAAUCGGAAUUACUGGGCGUAAAGCGCACGCAGGCGGUUGAUUGAGUCAGAUGUGAAAUCCCCGGGCUUAACCCGGGAAUUGCAUCUGAUACUGGUCAGCUAGAGUCUUGUAGGGGGGGGUAGAAUUCCAUGUGUAGCGGUGAAAUGCGUAGAGAUGUUGAGGAAUACCGGUGGCGAAGGCGGCCCCCUGGACAAAGACUGACGCUCAGGUGCGAAAGCGUGGGGAGCAAACAGG
rnacentral:rRNA from 1 species